rnacentral:rRNA from 1 species
AACCAGUGACCGAUAGUGAACCAGUACCGUGAGGGAAAGGUGAAAAGAACCCCGGGAGGGGAGUGAAAGAGAACCUGAAACCGUGUGCCUACAAGUAGUCAGAGCCCGUUAACGGGUAAUGGCGUGCCUUUUGUAGAAUGAACCGGCGAGUUGCGUUAGUCAGCAAGGUUAAGUCAGAAAAGACGGAGCCGUAGCGAAAGCGAGUCUGAAGAGGGCGAGCAGUUGGCUGACGCAGACCCGAAACCAAGUGACCUACCCAUGACCAGGUUGAAGGCGCGGUAAAACGCGCUGGAGGACCGAACCCACGUAAGUUGAAAAUUGCGGGGAUGAGUUGUGGGUAGCGGUGAAAUUCCAAACGAACUUGGAGAUAGCUGGUUCUCUCCGAAAUAGCUUUAGGGCUAGCCUCGCAAAGAGGAUGCUGGAGGUAGAGCUCUGUUUGGACUAGGGGCCCGUCAAGGGUUACUGAAUUCAGAUAAACUGCGAAUUCCAGACAUUUAUGUGCGGGAGUCAGACUGCGAGUGAUAAGAUCCGUAGUCGAAAGGGAAACAGCCCAGAUCACCAGUUAAGGUCCCAAAAUUCAUGCUAAGUGGAAAAGGAUGUGGAGUUGCGCAGACAACUAGGACGUUGGCUCAGAAGCAGCCAUCAUUCAAAGAGUGCGUAAUAGCUCACUAGUCGAGUGACGCCGCGCCGAAAAUUUACCGGGGCUAAGCAUGAUACCGAAACUGUGGAUGUGCGUUUAUGCACGUGGUAGGAGAGCGUUCUAGCGGCGGUGAAGCAUGACCGAGAGGACAUGUGGAGCUUCUAGAAGUGAGAAUGCCGGUAUGAGUAACGAAAGACAGGUGAGAAUCCUGUCCGCCGCAAGACUAAGGUUUCCUGGGGCAGGCUCGUCCGCCCAGGGUAAGUCGGGACCUAAGGCGAGGCCGAGAGGCGUAGUCGAUGGACAACAGGUUGAAAUUCCUGUACUGCACCGAAUCGUUAUGAGCGAUGGAGGGACGCAGGAGGCUAGCAGCGCGUGGUGCUGGAUACCACGUUCAAGCGUCAAGUCUGAGAGCGAGUCAAAUGCUUGCUCUCAUAAGGACAAGGCGUGAUGAGGAGCGAAAUUAAAGUAGCGAAGGCUGCGACGUCACACUGCCGAGAAAAGCUUCUAGCCAGAGACGGUGCACCCGUACCGCAAACCGACACAGGUAGUCGAGGAGAGUAUCCUCAGGUGAGCGAGAGAACUCUCGUUAAGGAACUCGGCAAAAUGGCCCCGUAACUUCGGGAGAAGGGGCGCUGGUCGCAAGAUCAGCCGCAGUGAAAAGGCCCAAGCAACUGUUUAUCAAAAACACAGGCAUCUGCAAAAUCGUAAGAUGAAGUAUAGGUGCUGACACCUGCCCGGUGCUGGAAGGUUAAGAGGAGAGCUUAGCGCAAGCGAAGGUUUGAAUUGAAGCCCCAGUAAACGGCGGCCGUAACUAUAACGGUCCUAAGGUAGCGAAAUUCCUUGUCGGGUAAGUUCCGACCUGCACGAAAGGUGUAAUGAUUUGGGCACUGUCUCAACGAGAGACUCGGUGAAAUUAUAAUACCCGUGAAGAUGCGGGUUACCCGCGACAGGACGGAAAGACCCCAUGGAGCUUUACUGCAGUUUAAUAUUGGGUAUCUGUCAAGCAUGUACAGGAUAGGUAGGAGCCGGAGAAGAUAGGACGCCAGUCUUAUCAGAGGCGCUGUUGGGAUACUACCCUUGCUUGACGGAUGCUCUAACU